ACGAACGCUGGCGGCAGGCCUAACACAUGCAAGUCGAACGAGAUCUUCGGAUCUAGUGGCGGACGGGUGAGUAACGCGUGGGAACGUGCCCUUCUCUACGGAAUAGUCCUGGGAAACUGGGUUUAAUACCGUAUACGCCUUCGGGAAGAAUUCGGAGGAUCGCCGCGUUGAUAGUAGUGUGGGUAGUGCUACCAGCCGACGAUCCAUAGCUGGUUUGAGAGGAUGAUCAGCCACACUGGACUGAGACACGGCCCAGACUCCUACGGGAGGCAGCAGUGGGGAAUCUUAGACAAUGGGGGCAACCCUGAUCUAGCCAUGCCGCGUGAGUGACGAAGGCCCUAAGGGUCGUAAAGCUCUUUCGCCAGGGAUGAUAAUGACAGUACCUGGUAAAG
rnacentral:rRNA from 1 species